UACGUAGGGUGCAAGCGUUGUCCGGAAUUAUUGGGCGUAAAGAGCGUGUAGGCGGCCCGAUUAGUCCGCUGUGAAAGUCCAGGGCUCAACCCUGGAAUGCCGGUGGAUACUGUCGGGCUAGAGUCCGGAAGGGGCGAGUGGAAUUCCUGGUGUAGCGGUGAAAUGCGCAGAUAUCAGGAGGAACACCGGUGGCGAAGGCGGAUCUCUGGGCCUUACCUGACGCUGAGGCGCGAAAGCUAGGGGAGCAAACAGG
rnacentral:rRNA from 1 species